rnacentral:lncRNA from 1 species
CCGGGCAGGGCUCGGGACCUGCAGCCCGCCAUGCCAGAGUCCCCCGCGGUGGGCUCCUCGGCAGCCCGAGACUCCUCGACGGGCGCCGCCCACUGCGCCCGGUCCCAUCGACCGCCCAAGGGCUGAGGAGUGCAGGUGAGCACCACAGGACUAGCGGGCAGCUCCUCCCACGGCCCUGGCGUGUGAUCCACUAGGGGAAGCCAGCUGGGCUCCUGAGUCAGGUGGGGACUUGGAGAACCUUUAUGUCUAGCUAAAGGAUUGUAAAUGCACCAAUCAGUGCUCUGUGUCUAGCUCGGAGUUUGUGGAUGCACCAAUCAGCACUCUGUAUCUGGCUAAUCUGGUAGGGACUUGGAGAACCUUUAUAUCUAGCUAAAGGAUUGUAAAUAACACCAAUCAGCACUCUGUGUCUAGCUCAAGGUUUGUAAAUGCACCAGUGUUCUGUGUCUAGCUAAUCUAGUGGGGACUUGGAGGGCCAGAUAAGAGAAUAAAAGCAGGCGGCUGGAGCCAGCAGCAGCAACCUGCUUGGGUCCCCUUCCACACUGUGGAAGUUUUGUUUUUUCACUCGUUGCAAUAAAUCUUGCUGCUGCUCGCUCUUUGGGUGUGCACUGCCUUUAUGAGCUGUAACACUCACCUAGAAGGUCUGCAGCUUCACUCCUGAGGUCAGCGAGACCACGAACCCACCUAGAGGAAUGAACAACUCCAGACGCGCCGCCUUAAGAGCUGUAACACUCACGGCGAAGGUCUGCAGUUUCACUCCUGAAGCCAGUGAGACCACGAACCCACCAGAAGGAAAAAACUCUGACCACGUCUGAACAUCAGAAGGAACAAACUCCGGACACACCAUCUUUAAGAACUGUAACACUCACCUCGAGGGUGUGCAGCUUCAUUCUUGAAGUCAGUAAGACCAAGAACCCACCAAUUCUGGACACAGUGCAAUCAUAGCUCACUGCAGCCUUGAACUCCUCAGGUCAAGCAAUCCUCCUGCCACAGCCUCCUAAGUAGCUGGGACUACAAGUACACACCACCAUGUCCAGCUAAUUUUUGUAUUUUUUAUAGAGAUGAGGUCUCACUAUGUUGCCCAAGCUGGUCUCAAACUCCUGGCUUUCAGAAAUCGUCCUUCCUCGUCCUCCCAAAGUACUAGGAUUAUAGGUAUGAGCCAUUUUGCCCAAUCUAAUUUGUGGUCUUUUCACAAAUACCCUCCCCCUCUCACAUUCCGUGUGUGUGUGUGUGACUAUCAUAAAUACUGUCAUUUUUUUCCAUGUUGAUGAAAGAGCUUAAUACAAAUAUAUAAUAGAAGGAAAAAAUAAAAUUGGGUAAUUUUCACUUCGUUGAUGUUAUUAUUAUUUUCCAAGCUUUGAAGCAAUCACAGAUGAGAAGAUCUUCAUUUGAAAACACAUAAAAGUCCUGAAAAUAGUACAAUUAAAAUGAAAAGGAAAUUACCAGAGUAAAUAAUUGCUGUAAAUAUGACCCACGAAGUGUUAAUUUCCAAGUCUUUGGAAAGUCUAAUGUAUGUCUGGGGCGGGGAGGGGAGCCAAAGAAUGCAGGAGGAAUGUUCCUCAAAAGAAGAAACACAAUUCACACAAAAGGCAAUGCUUAUUUUUAAAUGGUUCAACCUCACAGUAAUCAAAGAAAUGCAAAUUAAAAGUACAAUAAGAAAUCAUUUAUCCAUUGUAGCCGGGUGCGGUGGCUCACGAAUUUAAUUUUUUAUGUAACUCGCAAACUUCACAAGUGUGGAGUCUGAGACCGGAAGUGCUACCAAACUCCACUGAAAGUGAAGUUUGAGGCCAGAAGUGGGAUUUCCUUGCUGCAUAAUAAAAGUGGGCUUUGGCUGAGUAAAAUUGGAAGCAGAGAGGGCUUAGAAUAGAUGUUUAUAAAGAAAGAAAAUCCUAAUUGAAGGGGAAGACCAGGUAAUGUUAUAAUUCACUAUUUUGAGAAAAUGGAAUCUUUUGAAUUCAUUCUCCUUGUAAUACAAGGGAAAUGAAAAUCUAUAGUACAAUGCUCAUGGCACAAUUUUAACUGUUUACAUUAAAAUAUAAAUUUUUCCAGAAAAAAAAUUUAAAUUUGACAUAUUUAAUGAAACCUCCUAUAACAAAAGGAAAAUUGCUAUAGAAAUAAAUGUAUAUAUAUAUAUAUAUAUAUACACACACACACACAUUUAUGUAUAUAUUUGAGAUUUUCCAUUCAUCAGUAGUAACCUCUCUAAUGUAGACCAACCUUGUUUAGUAGAACUUUCUGUGAUAAUGGACAUGUUCCAUAGCUGCACCAUCCAAUAUGGUACUCACUAGCCAUAUGUGGCUAUUGAGUACUUGAAACAUGGCUAGUGCAACAGAGAAACUUAAUUUUGAAUUUUAUUUACAUUUAAUUAAUUUAAAUAUAAAUAGCCCACAUGUAACUAGUGGCUACCAUAUAAACAACCUAGCUCUGGUCUAGAUCACUUAGAAAUGUGGGGAGAGUCAAAUAUGUAUAGAUUUGAUAUCACUAUCAGUUAUUUCUUAUCUGUAUCAACUACCAUUGACCAUUACUGAAAUCAUUAAUGCCUGAAGAAGUGUGCUCCAACAUUAAUUUAGCAGGAUUUUGAGAAAUACUGUCAUGUGAUAGGCCAAAUUGUAAAGAGUACUAUUUUGUUUUCAUCAGAAAUUAAAUACCCUCUUGCGGAGAUUUUCUAUUUCUUUUGGUAUUCUGUCAUACAAUAUAAUUUUUUAUGUUUACUUUAAUAUUUGAAUUAUUACAGUAGAAUUUCUUUAUGAUACUUUCUCAGAGAUGAAUGCUUUUCAUAUGGUCGAUAGGAAGACAUUAUAAAAUUACUUUAUAAGCCUGGGACAGCAACUUUUAAAAUGGCCUUUGUAAACAAGACUACAUGAAAAAGAUAAAUACACUAAUGAAAAUUCUAACUAUGGGGACAAAUAUUUUUAAAAGUUUAGUUAUAAUUGGCUGGGUGUCGUGGCUCAUGACUGUAAUCCCAGAACUUUGGGAGGCCAAGGUGAGUGGAUCAUCUGAGGUCAGGAUUCAAGACCAGCCUGACCAACAUGGUGAAACCCUGUCUCUACUAAAAAUACAAAAUUAGCCGGGCGUGGUGGCAGGCGCCUGUAAUCCUAGCUACUUGGGAGGCUGAGGCAAGAGAAUCACUUGAACCCGGGAGGUGGAGGUUCCAGUGAGCUGAGACCACACCAUUGCACUCCAGCCUGGGCAACAAGAGUGAAACUCCAUCUCAAAAAAUAAAUAAAUAAAUAAAUAAAUAAAAUAAAAAUAAAAAAAGGAAAAAGUUUUCUUACAAGUUCUGCAAUGCAACUUGGCAAUACAACUUGGCAAAUAAUUCCAAAAAUGUAAUCGGCCUCAAAAAGUGCUCCCUAGCCUUGUUUCUCCAAAAGCUGAUUCUACUUCCAAAGCACACAUCAGAGUUUAAAUCUCCCAUGACCUUUUCAGGCGUUUAGUGGAAAUGAUCAUUAGGAUUUGUGAUGAUACUUUUAUAAUAAUGCUAGACAGUAAUAUUAUAGAUAGGAUAAUUGCGUAUAAAAUAAUAUUGAAAAUUUUAAAUUUGUAUAGAUUUUAAAAGUUAGUAAAUUCAUAUCUUGAAUGCUGAUUAUUUGUAGGACAUUGAACCUAGAGACUCUGGGAAAUAUUUUUUUAAAUGGGAGACAUCCGUCCUUUUAGGAACUCCAUUUAUUGGACCUGGGCAUGUUCUUUUGGAAGGAUAGGAUUCAGAUAAGCGAGAGAGAGGAGACUUCCUUUGGCAUAACCUUGGACAAGCUACUGAGUGUUCCUUCUGCAGUGAAACAAUAGGAUUCUGGAUAAAACAUACUUUCUAAUGAAUUACUUGACUUCAGGAAACUUUUUUAACAACUCUAAAGAUCCUUCUUCCUUGCCUCAGGAUGAAAAAAUUAAAAAGCAUGAGGUGAAACUGCUGUUGAAGAGUAAUAAACAAACAGGAAAAGUGGGAUGGACAAUUAAAUUGUAUGGGUUGUAUUUAUUUGCAAAGAUACUGUUGGAAGUAUAGCAGUCACAUGCUCUAUUAGACUGCUCCUAAACCGAGCCUUAUUUGAAAAAAAAAACAAGGAGAACCAACAACCACAUUUGUAGACCCAGUUUUUUGGUGUCCUUUUUUUUUUUCCUUUUGGUAUCUUCAGUUAAGUAGCCAACCACUUUCAUAUUGUCAGAUCUGUUUUCAGAAAGAGGGCCUACUUUUGCUCAGAAACCAGUGUUCUGUGUGGAGAAAACAUGGGUCUCCAUUGAAGGAAUCCUACAAAUCUCUGAUAUCUGCAUGUUUGAGAAAGUACUUUCAUUCAGACACAUGGACUGUAACUUCUGAGUCCUUAACCACCACCUCAAAUUAGUAUUUGUCUACUUUUAAGUGUAUUUAACUUUUUGUUAUGAAAAUUCAGAAUAUAUUAGAAAAGUAGAGGGAAAAGUGUAAUGAAAUUUUGUAUAACCAUACCUACCUUCCACAGCUAUCAUCUCAUGGGCCAGGUUGUUUCAUAAUUGUUGUUUCCACUUUCCACUUCCACCUCAAAUUAUUUUGAAGCGAAUCCCAGACAUGACAUCAUUUUAUCUGGUAACAUUUCAG